rnacentral:piRNA from 1 species
AUGUGUGUGCCUUCUGUGAGUAUAUGC